GACGAACGCUGGCGGCGUGCUUAACACAUGCAAGUCGAACGGAGUGUGUAGCAAUACUCACUAAGUGGCGAAUGGGUGAGUAACACGUAGGUGACCUGCCCUGAAGUGCGGAAUAACAGUCCGAAAGGAUUGCUAAUACCGCAUGUGGUCCCGGGCGUUAGAGAACCGGGUCUAAAGCAGUAAUGCGCUUCAGGAGGGGCCUGCGGUCCAUCAGCUAGUUGGUAGGGUAANGGCCUACCAAGGCAACGACGGAUAGGGGACCUGAGAGGGUGGCCCCCCACAUUGGC
rnacentral:rRNA from 1 species